rnacentral:lncRNA from 1 species
CAGGAUGGCACCGAGAGGGGGUCGUCACUCGCGGGCGAUGCUCGAUUGUCCCCGCGCCGCUUGCGGGGUCCGUGCCCCGAAGUGGGCGACCAGACAGGGGUCAGCAUUAUGGCUCCAGGAUCUGGGUGGGGAGCACUGAAGUCUAUGGGUCUGCCUCCCAUCUGGGCACUCGGAACUUUUGACCAGGAGGAACAUCUGUGAGGUGGUGUCAGAACUUCUGAGGCUGGGUCCCGGUGAGUGUUGUCAGACCCAGGGCAGAGAGGAGCCUUCCACCUCCCUUCCUGGCCGCACCCUUCCCUUGGACUUUAUCUCCAAGUUCUCAAAUAUUCUGCCACCGGGUGCAGGGUCACAGCUUGUCCAGAGUGUCACACUCAAGCACAGUGGGGGCAGGCAGAGGGCACCAGGAGACAUCAAGGGCAUUGAGGACGAGGCAGAGGCACGGCGGCAAGCCAGUUCCGAGCCAGCAGAGAGGAGGCAGGCGAGAGCGAGCCAAGGCCAGUGACGUGCCCAGAGCCAGUCAGCUCUCCAAGGCCGCUGGCCCUGCCUGAACCGCAGGAGCGGGAAGCUGACCUGGCGGAUUACCUCCUCCCAGACUUGAACUCGGACCAGUUCACCACGGGGCUGAGGGGCACGUGGGGACCAGGAGGCCGUGAAGAAGAGGGCUCAGACUGGGGUUCUGUUCUUACCGCAUGACUUUUACAACUCAAUUUCCUCGCCUACAAAAUCUCUAAUACUUAGCAAAUGAUUCUUAAUUAAAUGAGCCAGCUUCUCUGGCUCCUGAGAGCUGCCUGGUAAAUAUUCAGGGAUCUUGUGAACUGGCUAACCUGCUCAGCUUGCAGUCAGCGCAACAGCAGCGUUUAUACUACGGAAAUCGGCACACAGCCCAAAUCAGGGCGCCCCUCAAAAAUGUAUUUUUCUAAAAAAUAAUAUAUAUGAUAGUAAAUCAAAAGUUAAAAAUCUGAGUAAUUAUUCUUGUUAUAUUGCAGUCACUGUGGAAAACAUAUACUUUCUGUAUAGAGGUUCAUCAAAAAACUAAAAUUAGAAAUACCCUAUGACCCAGUAAUCACACUAUUGGGCAUUUAUUCCCCAAAAUACAAAAACACUAAUUCGAAGGGAUACAUGCACCCCUAUGUUUAUAGCAACAUUAUUUACAAUAGCCCAAUUAUGGAAGCCCCCCAAGUGUCCAUCCAUAGAUGAAUGGAUAAAGAAGAUAUGAUGUACAUAUACAAUAGAAUAUUAUUCACCUGUAAAAAAGAAUGAAAUCUUGCCAUUUGCAAUGACAUGGAUGGAGGUAGAGAGUAUUAUGCAAGUGAAAUAAGUCAAUCAGUGAAAGACAAAAACCAUAUGAUUUCACUCCUAUGUGAAAUUUAAGAAACAAAACAGCUGAGCAAAGGAAAAGAGAGAGAAACCAAGAAAUGGACUCUUAACUAUAGGGA